UACGUAGGGGGCGAGCGUUAUCCGGAAUUACUGGGUGUAAAGGGUGUGCAGGCGGCAUUGCAAGUUUGAUGUGAAAUCCCGGGGCUUAACUCCGGGCAUGCAUCGAAAACUACAGAGCUAGAGUACAGGAGAGGAAAGCGGAAUUCCUAGUGUAACGGUGAAAUGUGUAGAUAUUAGGAAGAACACCAGUGGCGAAGGCGGCUUUCUGGACUGAAACUGACGCUGAGACACGAAAGCGUGGGGAG
rnacentral:rRNA from 1 species